ACGGAUGAGGCUGAGGACCCUGAGAAGAUGCUGGCCAACUUUGAGUCGGGAAAACAUAAGUACCGCCAAACAGUCAUGUUCACGGCCACCAUGCCCCCAGCGGUGGAGCGUCUGGCCAGGAGCUAUCUUCGGCGACCUGCUGUGGUGUACAUUGGCUCCGCAGGCAAGCCCCAUGAGCGUGUGGAACAGAAGGUCUUCCUCAUGUCAGAGUCAGAAAAGAGGAAAAAGCUGCUGGCAAUCUUGGAGCAAGGCUUUGACCCACCCAUCAUCAUUUUUGUCAACCAGAAGAAGGGCUGCGACGUGUUGGCCAAAUCCCUGGAGAAGAUGGGGGUGUGUCUGGCAGGGGAGAACAAAGUCUAGCCUCUGUGGCACUGCUUUCUGAAUCUAGCAGGGCCCCCUAGGCUCUUCCUUUCGAGUCUCACCCUUUCUUUAACCUGUCCAGCAAUCAACAAGUUAGGACCAGGGUGAAGGGUGGUUUGAGGGAAUAAAGAGAAUGGAGUCAAUUGCUGGGACCCCCUGUCUGCUGCAGUAAUGCCAGCCAAAGCUGCCUUGGGUCUUCAUCCUGGUGAGGUGGAGCCA
rnacentral:sRNA from 1 species